CGGGCUGGCGUAUGACGGUGGUACGACUGAUUUGGGAUCAGUUAGACUGGGUUCGACUCCCAGCAGCCCGA
rfam:Candidatus Yanofskybacteria bacterium RIFCSPLOWO2_12_FTLL_43_11b rifcsplowo2_12_scaffold_4932, whole genome shotgun sequence.